rnacentral:rRNA from 1 species
UAAGGAAUAUUCCACAAUGGGCGCAAGCCUGAUGGAGCGACGCCGCGUGCGGGACGAAGCCUUUCGGGGUGUAAACCGCUUUUGUGGGGGAUGACACUCUGAGGUAAACACUCCUCAGAUACGACAGUACCCCACGAAUAAGCAUCGGCUAACUACGUGCCAGCAGCCGCGGUAAUACGUAGGAUGCAAGCGUUGUCCGGAUUUACUGGGCGUAAAGCGCGCGCAGGCGGCAGGUUAAGUAAGGUGUGAAAUCUCCCUGCUCAACGGGGAGGGUGCACUUUAGACUGACCAGCUAGAGGGCGGUAGAGGGUGGUGGAAUUGCUGGUGUAGCGGUGAAAUGCGUAGAGAUCAGCAGGAACACCCGUGGCGAAGGCGGCCACCUGGGCCGCACCUGACGCUGAGGCGCGAAGGCUAGGGGAGCGAACGG